UCUUCGAUAGCUCAGUUGGUAGAGCGGAGGACUGUAGAUCCUUAGGUGGCUGGUUUAAUUCCGGCUCGAAGGAA